rfam:Felis catus isolate Cinnamon breed Abyssinian chromosome C2, whole genome shotgun sequence.
ACUGGCUCAGUCGGUAGAGCAUGAGACUCUUGAUCUCGGGGUUGUGAGUUCGAACCCCACGU